AACGAACGCUGGCGGCAGGCUUAACACAUGCAAGUCGAACGCCCCGCAAGGGGAGUGGCAGACGGGUGAGUAACACGUGGGAACAUGCCCAAAGGUACGGAAUAUUCUCGGGAAACUGAGAGCAAUACCGUAUGUGCCCGAAAGGGGAAAGAUUUAUCGCCUUUGGAUUGGCCCGCGUCGGAUUAGCUAGCUGGUGGGGUAAAAGCCUACCAAGGCGACGAUCCGUAGCUGGUCUGAGAGGACGACCAGCCACACUGGGACUGAGACACGACCCAGACUCCUACGGGAGGCAGCAGUGGGGAAUCUUGGACAAUGGGCGCAAGCCUGAUCCAGCCAUGCCGCGUGGAUGAUGAAGGCCCUAGGGUUGUAAAAUCCUUUCGUUGGGGACGAUAAUGACGGUACCCAAAGAAGAAGCUCCGGCUAACUUCGUG
rnacentral:rRNA from 1 species